rnacentral:lncRNA from 1 species
UAAUAUCAGAUGAAACAAAACAAAAAUUACCGCACAAUGGUUCUAACCUUCUAAUUUUUUUGUUUUUGUUUUUGCUCUUUGUUAAUUGUUAUAUAUCUCUCUCUCUUACCCUAUUCAUAAAAAAAACUACAAACGAUAGACCUUUUUUUUACUGUCGAAUGAUCACUAAUCAAAAAGAUCCAAAAACAAAACAUAUUAUUAGUAUACAGAAGAAAGAAAAGACAUUGGUAAAAACGUUUCACUUGUUGACAAACAAAAACACAAAAUACAAAAAAAAUAAAAUAAAAAAAGACAUAACUUUAGAGUGCUGUUGUCAUUGCUGAUUUGCAUGUGAGAGAGAGAGAGAUAGAGAGAGGCAUUGGGCCAGACAGAAAAUACAAGUCCCCCGAGAGAUGCGCGCUACAAAAGGAGAGAUGGGACAUUUAUAGACGGACCCCAUCCUUCUGUCAGAACUCUAUUCACAUCAUCAUCAAUUC